rnacentral:tRNA from 1 species
GGGGCUGUAGCUCAGUGGCAGAGCGCUUGCCUGGCAUGUGUGAGGCAAUGGGUUCGAUCCUUAGCACCA